rnacentral:lncRNA from 1 species
CUGUCCCACAAGCGGGGGCCUGACUAAGAUUUCUCUCCGGCCUCACUUGCCAGAUUCAUCUCGACUGCCCCCUCUCCCGACUUACGGCGACUUUCUAUGAAUAUCACGCAGGCUUCGUUCGCCUGGGGUAAAUACUACUGCUACUACUGCUGCAUGGCAAACAGAACUUGCUGCGUAUCGUAGCUCGAUCUAGAGGGAACGCGCCGCACCACGUGAUAACUGGACAUGUCAGGCAGCCAGCCAGGUAGGAUGGAGAUACGUCGGCUUCAAACUCGCUCGGCUUGCCGGACAAGAAAAAAAGCAUCAAAGCAACCACAGGAACACAAACUCAAAAAAUAACGAGGAAAAAUGAAAACGAACGCCUUUCCCGUCUUUCGGCACUACAUUUAACUUUCCCGUUCGCAUUCUACGAGCGAAAAAGUACGUCAUUCUUGGUUCGUUUAUUCGCUCAGUGAUUCCGGCCGCUUUGAUUGGGCUGGAAGUUAUGUUACGAAAUGAAAUGUGGAGACGCACUGGCGUUUGUUCUAUCCACCGGUCCACUUGUUAUCUACUCUGUACAUUAUAACUACGUAGUAUAACUAUGUAGUACUCCGUACUAAGCUCUUUGAUCCUCUCCCACACUGCUGGCUACGUAUUCUCUCUCUCUCGUACUCCGAAGACACAAAGGAACUCGGCAAUGCCUCGGUUGACGGCCUGCUCGGACAUUGCCGAUCUGUCUUGAAUUUCGUUGUUCGCAUGUUGGUAAAUUAACCCGCGCCGUUGAUGGAUGACGGAUGCUUGCCUAUUCCGCUUUAUCUCGCUUGAACGGCUGAGAAGCUGCAGAGUGCACUAUGCAUAGGAGGAGGAGACACCAACAUCUCACCCCAUCCCCUCUUCCCCGCUCCCCGACUUCUGUCUACCCUAGUCAUGGCUCAUUUAUCGAUUCUUUCAUCCCAUGUGCCUUGCCUCUGCAGACGAGCCCCAAAGAUCGAACGGCGACAUCUCAACGGCUCGUCAAACCUUCCAAAAAAAGACAUGACCGAAAUGAGAUCGCCAUCAUGCCUUCUGUCUUUCCCUUCCCGGUAUACUUUACCAGCAUCUCACCACGCAGCUGUCUCUGCGAGAUUGGGCGUUAGUCUGUCUCACUUAGUACCUGUUAGCGGUAUCCAUCCACGAUCCACAUCAAAUCAACCACGGAGAUAUCAGAACCAGUCACACAACCGUUGAAGGCGGGCCCUGUUUCCUAGCCACACGCGCCUGCCACUCGUUUUCUGAUCGUCCCGGAUGGUUGUCAGCCAAAGCAUGUUAGAUCAUGUAAAGAAGUUCAGCUGUAUCCGUGCGGUGUCAUGAGAAUUGUCCUGGGCAUUGGAAAAUUGAUGAUCCAUCCGUCGGAAGCUCGCAUAAUAUUUGAUAAUGGUUUUUCUUCCUUGGGGCCGUGUCUUGGACCCGACAAAGAGAUUUUCAUGCUAUAUUGGUGGGGUUAGGGCUUGCUACAUACGGGAAAUUGCGUCAUCGGUAUUUCUUAAACCAUACUCGAGUCUGUACGUAGUGAUUGAUAGUCAUAUCACUGUGGCAUAUAGCUGCUAUGCCUAACCGCUCAUCGCAAGACAUCCAAGAUACUCUCUCUUCUUGCAGUUUACCUUGACUACUACUACGUACUCACUCUGAUUUGAUUUUGAAAAUCAAAUCUCAAUCUGACCGUCUACAACCAAUAAGAUCUAUUAUUAAGAGGAAAUUUUCAAACCCACCGUAUGUUGGUUGGUCGCUGUGGACCUGCUCUUACUAACUAAUCGUCAGUACGUGCCUUCAGUGGGACCACCAUGUGUAGACCGCAGAGAAUGCUAGAGAUUCAUUCGCUUUCCAAUAGUACUACGGAGUAUAGAGGGCCGCGUUUAGCCGGGAAGUAUUAUAAAUGUUUGCUAAUGCAACAUUGUUAUUUGUGAUAAUAAUCGAACCAGUUAGGUCUUUGAUACUCAUACCGUACAUGAUGGAACGGAGAUAGACCCGUUGGGAAAAUGCAAGAACCCAAACACUUUCAAAUCUGAUAUAUAUGCAGCGUCCUUCACCAAUCGCGCUGUCGGGAGUCGGUUGGUGGCAUUAGAGGCGUACCGCGUACUCUUGAAGCCUCUAUCCCUAGCACACGCCGAUUUUUAACUACGUAUUCUUUGUCAGGAUGCUCCUUGUAGAUCCUCGCAAUCUCCUCGUUCUUGGGGCCAUUCUGAUCUACUGACCAUGGGAUUGCUCCGAUAUACCGCCAGGCCCUCUCUGGUCCCAAGACUGCCCUUGAAUCACCAGUGCACGCGACUUGCAAGGCUCUUGUGGCAGGGUCGUGCACACAUGGACAGAACUUCGAAGGGUCGUGGAUCUUACUUUACAGAUUUGAAAUGAAUUCUACAAUUCAUUCAAGUGCUAACUUAGAUAGCAGUCAGCAUCUCUAACAACAGAUCAAAGCUGGUUCGGGGUUAACAAAAAAUGUCUCGGUGAACUUCCCUUAAGAAAUAAUCGGAUAAAUUCAUAUCACACCUAUAUACAAGGAAAGGUAUCGUAACAAGGAAGAACAAAGGGACAAGAAUUAUUUGUCCUCACCACGAAUCUAAUCAAAGAAAUAUCGACGCGUAUAUCAUCAUGUCUGUAUAGUCACAUUUCGUCGUCCAACAGCUUCUUCAACGUGGAACCCGAAGACAAGCCUGUACAAAUCUCGUAGCCAGGGACACUUGCCAUGGCAUUGUGCCGAAGGAAUCCGACGAGAGAGACUUGCUGAAGGAAGACAGCG